rnacentral:rRNA from 1 species
UACGUAGGGUGCGAGCGUUGUCCGGAUUUAUUGGGCGUAAAGAGCUCGUAGGCGGCUUGUCGCGUCGAAUGUGAAAUCUCCUGGCUCAACUGGGAGCUUGCAGGCGAAACUGCCGUGCUGGAGUGUGGGAGAGGUGAGUGGAAUUCCUGGUGUAGCAGUGAAAUGCGUAGAUAUCAGGAGGAACACCGAUGGCGAAGGCAGGUCUCUGGGCUGACACUGACGCUCAUGCACGAAAGCGUGGGGAGCAAACAGG